GCCGGAGUAGCUCAGUUGGUAGAGCAGCACUUUCGUAAAGUGAAGGUCAGCGGUUCAAUUCCGCUCUCCGGCUCCA
rnacentral:tRNA from 1 species